GAUUAAAUAUAGCUGUUCUGGAUCAUUCAUUUAAUGUUGAUUCCAAUACCAAUACAUAGUAGCUUCCUUUAAAAAUAGUUGCCAUAGUAACAUUCCAUGACAGUUAAAUUCAGUUAAUUGCAUCAGUUAAAGUUAGCACAACACAGAAGGAACUUGAAGCAAGCCAUUCAUUUUGUGAUCCUCUGUAGAAAGCAUUGUCUCCGCAUUCGACUGUCUUUUCCACAUCUUGUGUGAAGGAACUGCCAUCGUCGCACUCGAAACUGUAGUGUCUGUGUCGUACUCUGGUGCUGCUACAGCAGAAGCCCGUAUCUGGCCUGCAUCCGCCUCGACACUCCACCCAGGACAGCGGCUGCGUGCUCCGGCACUGGACCUCGCCACGCUGCACGCGAUGGAAGUCCCGUACGGACUCGCCCUGGCAAGGAGCCACUGGAAGCAAAGGAAGCCGUGUUGGCAUGGAAGUGCUGUACAGGGGCUGGAGGAUGCUUGACUGCACAGGGGUCCAAGGAAACCAUCCGCACACUCGCAGCGAUACGACUGGAGGUCCACUGGAACACAGGGGUUGGUAGCGGCUGCCAGCAGGUCCUGAUCACAGUGCCGGCCGCCCCAACCUGGCUGACAGUGGCACACGGGCCCGACGGCAGAGGCUGGCUGACACAGUCCGUUCACGCAGCGCAGCUCCUGACAGGCCUG